AAAGAAAUAAGGUUGGAGAAAAAUCUAAACCGUGAACUUCUGGCCUGGCCUCUUCCUUACACAGCUCUGGUUUCUUGGAAUGAUUAGUAAUCCUUGCUUCUUCCACUGAUUUGUCAGCUCAUUGCCUAACAGAACUUCGUCAAGCAUGGGACAUGUGUUAUCUCUGCCUAAGAAGACAUGGCUGCUGUCCCCACUCUGCAGAUGAGCAAAUUGAGGCUCCCAGAGAAAAUUACUGGCAUUACUUUGUACCCUUAAUUUGGUACCAGGAAAGAUGGGAAAAGAUGAUGAACAUUUUAGAAGCUGGUUUCUCCCCACUGUGGAAGGGGUUGGAUGAUGUACCUCGCUCUCUGGGACACCCCACUUGGCUGUAAUCUCAGGAAGGCCUCUUAAACCCCGGCUCAUCCCGCAGCCACUUCUGGAAGCUACUUGAGAGGAAAAAAAAAAAAUGAUGUGACAGGUCCUCUCAGGAAGGAUUUUCAGAAACCCAGCAUCCGCAGAAGAAAGUGGCCCAUUUCCCUUUUGCAAAGU
rnacentral:lncRNA from 1 species